rnacentral:telomerase_RNA from 1 species
UUUUUUGCGGGGUGUCUCGUCUAACCCUAAAUGAGGGUCGUCGCCUGUACGUAACGUUUGCUGUUUUGGGCUUUCAGCAAACUACAGGUGAUUUUUUUUCAAGUAGCGUUGGAAAGGUCGCGGGUUAUAUAAAAAAAAAAGCCAACUUAAUCACCCCGUCAAGCUCAGUUUCCUUUCAGAAUCACCGUUAAUGUAUUGCCGUGGUCAGCUCGGCUGCCGCGAAGAGUUCGUCUCUGUUGCUCCGGUGACUUCUUGCAGGGAAUCUUCGCAAUUGAGCAGAUUAAAAAUGAGCAAGGUAACUUGCCGGGCCUGCAGUGGUCUGGCUGGGAAACCUACGCUCAAACACUC